rnacentral:rRNA from 1 species
AUUGAACGCUGGCGGCAGACCUAACACAUGCAAGUCGAGCGGAUGAAGGGAGCUUGCUCCUGGAUUCAGCGGCGGACGGGUGAGUAAUGCCUAGGAAUCUGCCUGGUAGUGGGGGAUAACGUCCGGAAACGGGCGCUAAUACCGCAUACGUCCUGAGGGAGAAAGUGGGGGAUCUUCGGACCUCACGCUAUCAGAUGAGCCUAGGUCGGAUUAGCUAGUUGGUGGGGUAAAGGCCUACCAAGGCGACGAUCCGUAACUGGUCUGAGAGGAUGAUCAGUCACACUGGAACUGGGACACGGUCCAGACUCCUACGGGAGGCAGCAGUGGGGAAUAUUGGACAAUGGGCGAAAGCCUGAUCCAGCCAUGCCGCGUGUGUGAAGAAGGUCUUCGGAUUGUAAAGCACUUUAAGUUGGGAGGAAGGGCAGUAAGUUAAUACCUUGCUGUUUUGACGUUACCAACAGAAUAAGCACCGGCUAACUUCGUG